UGGCUCAGGAUGAACGCUGGCGGCGUGCCUAAUACAUGCAAGUCGAACGCUUCACUUCGGUGAAGAGUGGCGAACGGGUGAGUAAUACAUAAGUAACCUGGCAUCUACAGGGGGAUAACUGAUGGAAACGUCAGCUAAGACCGCAUAGGUGUAGAGAUCGCAUGAACUCUAUAUGAAAAGUGCUACGGGACUGGUAGAUGAUGGACUUAUGGCGCAUUAGCUGGUUGGUAGGGUAACGGCCUACCAAGGCGACGAUGCGUAGCCGACCUGAGAGGGUGACCGGCCACACUGGGACUGAGACACGGCCCAGACUCCUACGGGAGGCAGCAGUAGGGAAUUUUCGGCAAUGGGGGAAACCCUGACCGAGCAACGCCGCGUGAAGGAAGAAGUAAUUCGUUAUGUAAACUUCUGUCAUAGAGGAAGAAUGGUGGAUAUAGGGAAUGAUAUCCAAGUGACGGUACUCUAUAAGAAAGCCACGGCUAACUACGUGCCAGCAGCCGCGGUAAUACGUAGGUGGCGAGCGUUAUCCGGAAUUAUUGGGCGUAAAGAGGGAGCAGGCGGCACUAAGGGUCUGUGGUGAAAGAUCGAAGCUUAACUUCGGUAAGCCAUGGAAACCGUAGAGCUAGAGUGUGUGAGAGGAUCGUGGAAUUCCAUGUGUAGCGGUGAAAUGCGUAGAUAUAUGGAGGAACACCAGUGGCGAAGGCGACGAUCUGGCGCAUAACUGACGCUCAGUCCCGAAAGCGUGGGGAGCAAAUAGGAUUAGAUACCCUAGUAGUCCACGCCGUAAACGAUGAGUACUAAGUGUUGGGAGUCAAAUCUCAGUGCUGCAGUUAACGCAAUAAGUACUCCGCCUGAGUAGUACGUUCGCAAGAAUGAAA
rnacentral:rRNA from 1 species